AAAUGCUAAAAUGACUUACAUUGUGAAACGGAGGGAGUAGUAUGUUUUGACACGGGUAAAGAAAGAAAAUAGCAGUUUGGGCUGGGCCUGGCCCAGUUAGUUGCUUGGGCCAAAAUCUGAUGAGAUCGAAAACUGAGGAGGAAAAAAAAUCCAAUCCAUCCAUUUCCUUUCCAGUGGUUUCGCGAUGGCGAGCACGCCGGAGCCGGAGACGACGGUGGGAGGCUACGAGCUGCGGGAGCGGCUGGGCGGCCGGCCGCCGUCCACGGUGGUGUGGCGCGCCGUGGAGCGGUCGAGCGGAUCCCCCGUGGUGGUGAAGCAGGUGCGGCUGACUGGCCUCCCCAGCACCCUCCGCGACAGCCUCGACUGCGAGGUCCGCUUCCUCGCCGCCGUCACCCACCCCAACAUCAUCCGCCUCCUCGACCUCAUCCAGACCCAGAGCAACCUGUACCUUGUCCUGGAGCUGUGCGAGGGAGGAGACCUGGCGGCCUACAUCCAGCGCAACGGGAGGGUAGAGGAGCGCGUCGCCAGCAAUUUCAUGAGACAGAUCGGAGCUGGCUUGCAAGUGCUCCGCAGACACCAUAUCGUCCAUAGGGACUUAAAACCCGAGAAUAUCCUGCUCUCUUCUCCUGACAGCAAUGCGAUCCUCAAGAUAUCUGAUUUUGGCCUGUCAAGAGUUCUUCGUCCCGGGGAAUACACAGAUACAAAUUGUGGCACUUGUUUGUACAUGGCCCCAGAAGUUAUGCUGUUUCAGAAGUAUGAUGGUGGGGUAUGUUGUAGAUUUGUGGAGUAUCGCCGCGAUUCUCUUCGAGCUCUUGAAUGGCUAUCCACCAUUCCGUGGUAGAAGCAAUGUCCAGCUGCUUCAAUGCAUAAACCGAACCGUGUCUCUUCCAUUCUCAGAAGUCGUUAUUUCCAAGCUACGUCCUGAUUCUAUUGAUAUAUGCACCAGACUUCUGUGUAGCAAUCCAGUGAAAAGGUUGUCCUUCCAAGAGUUCUUCAGCCACAGCUUCCUCAGACCAUAGACGCCUUACUGAAGAGCCUAUGCAAGCUUAGCAAUAUCAUCUGAAGUUCAGGAUUAGUUGAAUUGUUUGUUUGUUGUACUUGGACAUAUGCAGGUACCUCUUUGUGUUCAAAACCUUGUUUUCCUGUAGUCUUCUCUGUAGCCUGUAGACUUUUUACACGAAAAAUGUGAAUAUAAGUUGGGAGUUCUGUACACA